rnacentral:rRNA from 1 species
UACGGAGGAUGCGAGCGUUAUCCGGAUUUAUUGGGUUUAAAGGGUGCGUAGGCGGACUGUCAAGUCAGCGGUAAAAUUGAGAGGCUCAACCUCUUCCUGCCGUUGAAACUGGUGGUCUUGAGUGGAUGAGAAGUACGCGGAAUGCGUGGUGUAGUGGUGAAAUGCAUAGAUAUCACGCAGAACUCCGAUUGCGAAGGCAGCGUACCGGCAUCCAACUGACGCUGAGGCACGAAAGCGUGGGGAUCAAACAGG